GAGAUCUUUCGAUGAAGGGAGCAUCCGUCGACAGUCAGAAAAGAGGAACUGUCAUGGAGUUGCUCUCUUUAUUGAUUAGGUC
rfam:Octopus bimaculoides Scaffold118917_contig_23, whole genome shotgun sequence.